CAUGCAGUCGAGCGGAACGAGUUAUCUGAACCUUCGGGGAACGAUAACGGCGUCGAGCGGCGGACGGGUGAGUAAUGCCUAGGAAAUUGCCCUGAUGUGGGGGAUAACCAUUGGAAACGAUGGCUAAUACCGCAUAAUACCUWCGGGUCAAAGAGGGGGACCUUCGGGCCUCUCGCGUCAGGAUAUGCCUAGGUGGGAUUAGCUAGUUGGUGAGGUAAUGGCUCACCAAGGCGACGAUCCCUAGCUGGUCUGAGAGGAUGAUCAGCCACACUGGAACUGAGACACGGUCCAGACUCCUACGGGAGGCAGCAGUGGGGAAUAUUGCACAAUGGGCGCAAGCCUGAUGCAGCCAUGCCGCGUGUGUGAAGAAGGCCUUCGGGUUGUAAAGCACUUUCAGUCGUGAGGAAGGURGUGUUGUUAAUAGCACUAUCAUUUGACGUUAGCGACAGAAGAAGCACCGGCUAACUCCGUGCCAGCAGCCGCGGUAAUACGGAGGGUGCGAGCGUUAAUCGGAAUUACUGGGCGUAAAGCGCAUGCAGGUGGUUUGUUAAGUCAGAUGUGAAAGCCCGGGGCUCAACCUCGGAAUAGCAUUUGAAACUGGCAGACUAGAGUACUGUAGAGGGGGGUAGAAUUUCAGGUGUAGCGGUGAAAUGCGUAGAGAUCUGAAGGAAUACCGGUGGCGAAGGCGGCCCCCUGGACAGAUACUGACACUCAGAUGCGAAAGCGUGGGAGCAAACAGGAUUAGAUACCCUGGUAGUCCACGCCGUAAACGAUGUCUACUUGGAGGUUGUGGCCUUGAGCCGUGGCUUUCGGAGCUAACGCGUUAAGUAGACCGCCUGGGGAGUACGGUCGCAAGAUUAAAACUCAAAUGAAUUGACGGGGGCCCGCACAAGCGGUGGAGCAUGUGGUUUAAUUCGAUGCAACGCGAAGAACCUUACCUACUCUUGACAUCCAGAGAACUUUCCAGAGAUGGAUUGGUGCCUUCGGGAACUCUGAGACAGGUGCUGCAUGGCUGUCGUCAGCUCGUGUUGUGAAAUGUUGGGUUAAGUCCCGCAACGAGCGCAACCCUUAUCCUUGUUUGCCAGCACUUCGGGUGGGAACUCCAGGGAGACUGCCGGUGAUAAACCGGAGGAAGGUG
rnacentral:rRNA from 1 species